AUCCUUUUUUUGGUUCAUAAGCAUGAUGAUGUGUGUGUUCACGUGUAUGUGUGACAUGUGCCGCCCUUAAACCUUAUUAUGCACCAGCACAUUACCCAUCUGAGG